rnacentral:rRNA from 1 species
AUAACGGUCCUAAGGUAGCGAAAUUCCUUGUCGGGUAAGUUCCGACCCGCACGAAAGGCGUAAUGAUUUGAGCACUGUCUCGACAAUGCAUCCGGUGAAAUUGAAGUACCAGUGAAGAUGCUGGUUACCCGCGCCAGGACGGAAAGACCCCAUGGAGCUUUACUCCAGUUUGGUACUGGGAUUCGGUACUGCAUGUACAGGAUAGGUGGGAGACGAAGAAGUUAGGACGCCAGUCUUAACAGAGUCGCUGUUGGGAUACCACCCUUGCAGUAUUGGGUUUCUAACCAGCCGCUGUGAACCAGCGGUGGGACAAUGCCAGGCGGGGAGUUUGACUGGGGCGGUCGCCUCCGAAAGGGUAUCGGAGGCGCUCAAAGGUUCCCUCAGAAUGGUUGGAAACCAUUCGAAGAGUGCAAAGGCAGAAGGGAGCUUGACUGCGACACCGACGGGUGGAGCAGGUACGAAAGUAGGACUUAGUGAUCCGGUGGUAUAAAGUGGGAUUGCCAUCGCUCAACGGAUAAAAGCUACCCUGGGGAUAACAGGCUUAUCACUCCCAAGAGUUCACAUCGACGGAGUGGUUUGGCACCUCGAUGUCGGCUCAUCGCAUCCUGGGGCUGUAGCAGGUCCCAAGGGUUGGGCUGUUCGCCCAUUAAAGCGGUACGCGAGCUGGGUUCAGAACGUCGUGAGACAGUUCGGUCCCUAUCCGGCGCGGGCGGAGGAUAUUUGAGAGGAGCUGUCCUUAGUACGAGAGGACCGGGAUGGACGGACCACUGGUGUAUCUGUUGUCGACCAACGGCAUGGCAGAGUAGCCAAGUCCGGAAGGGAUAAACGCUGAAGGCAUCUAAGCGUGAAGCCCCCCUCAAGAUGAGAUAUCCCAUUCGAAAGAAGUAAGACCCCUUGAAGACGACGAGGUAGAUAGGGCAGAGGUGGAAGUGCAGUAAUGCAUGGAGCUGACUGUUACUAAUCGGUCGAGGGCUUGACCAA